rnacentral:tRNA from 1 species
GGGGGCUGUAGCUCAGCGGUAGAACAUCUGCUUUGCGUGCAGAAGGUCCCAGGUUCAAUCCCUGGCAUCUCCA